UGCCCAGCAACUCCUAUGCUUACCUCCUCGUGGUACUGACCGGGGUACGAGUAACCUUAAGGAAGAUCGUAUGCUUACAGAGAGGG
rnacentral:ribozyme from 1 species